rnacentral:tRNA from 1 species
GUUGGGGUAGCUCAGUGGUAGAGCAGCCGGCUCUGGACCGGUCGGACGCAGGUUCGAGCCCUGCCCCCAUCU